GUCUUGGGCUGCAGUCUGUGUUAUGCAGAAAUGUGAGAGAGACUUUUUCAAGACCAGCUGCACCCUGCAUUUCUUCAAGCCCUGCUUGCCAGUAUAGAUGCACCUUGAGCACCAGAUUGCUUUUGAAAAGCUUUAUCCAGUUGAGAGAUCUGUCCCCAUUUCACAAUGAUGCUGAAAUACAAACCUGAGCUUCAGUUCCUUCACCAGCCAGCCCACGCUGCACACAUCACCAGAAUUCAGUGCUUUUCAAACAACGCCCUUCAGCCCUCAGAGCAGGGAGAACAGCGCAGCGCUCCCAGCCCGGCUCGCUCAGCUCGGCCCAGUUCG